UACGGAGGGGGCUAGCGUUGUCCGAAGUUACUGGGCGUAAAGCGCGCGUAGGCGGGUUGGUAAGUCCGCUGUGAAAGCCCGGAGCUCAACUCCGGAGGGUCGGUGGAUACUGCCAGUCUUGAAGGUGCUAGGGGGAGAUGGAAUUACCGGUGUAGCGGUGAAAUGCGUAGAUAUCGGUAGGAACACCUGCGGCGAAGGCGGGUUGCUGGGCCGACACUGACGCUGAAGCGCGAAAGCCAGGGGAGCGAACGGG
rnacentral:rRNA from 1 species